GUGUGACAUGGUAGCUAGAGAGCUGGGUGAGGAUUUGGUUCAAAUAUCUGAAGUUAGAUGGGGCUGCGACUUCAAAAGGUUACUAAACAAAUGGCUAUAAUUUGAAGAUUACCUGUAUUGCUAAGGUAAUGUUUCUAUGCAAUCCCCAGGAGUCACGACUGAAUCAAAAGGGCACGCAGGGAGGAGAGGAUAAGGGAGAGAUACUCGGGA